GUACGGAUGGCCGAGUGGUCUAAGGCGCCAGAUUCAAAUAUUUUGGUAUCGUUAUAGAUGUGUGAGGGCGAAUCCUACUCCGUACA
rnacentral:tRNA from 13 species